rnacentral:lncRNA from 1 species
GUGGAGUUCGGAGGCAGUUUUUCUAAGCAUGCAAUUCAGUGGGAAGCUGAGAGAAGCCAGCUUGAAUCAGUCAGCUUGAACCAGAACAGCUGAAUUGAACUAGCCAGCAGAGUUCAGAAAAAGCUAGAACGAGUGAGUUUAUUCAGCAAUGAGCCUCCAAGGCUGGAACAUUCUAGGCCUAGGGUCUUCUAGCUAAAAUUGCAGUAUCCUGUGGAGACAGCACAGGGGUGAGCUGCAUCAGGAAGGUGCAGCAGGGCUCUGCAGAUUCUCCUGGAGAUGACACUGAAGAUGACUAACCAGCAGGAAAGGCUGCUCUUCUUAUCGCAGAUCACAUGGAUGGAGUUAUGGGGAUAACACCAGGGUCAUACAACAUUUGAACUGCUACUUCCUGUUACAGACUGAAUUGAAUCCUCAUAUCCUCAAACUAAAAUAUUAAAGCUCUAACUUUCAAUGUAACACGGUUUGAAGGUGAGUCCUUGGAGUCGUGGUUAGACUUAGAAAUAGGGAAGAGGUGCCAAGAUAGGGUCAAUGACUUUAUAAUAGACUAGAGCUGUCCCUGAUGUGAGGAGGCAAAGUGAAAGUUGACCCUGUGCAAGCCAGUAAGUAGAUAAUCAUUAGGAACAGAACUUUCUAGCGUCUUUGUCCAUAGGCUUAUCAAUAUCUAGAACGGUAAGAAGAUGAUUAAGUUUUGUUUUUAAAGUAAGUCAGUAUGUGUUGCUUUGUUAUAUAAGUCUAAACCACGACGUCCUCUAUUUACUUUAAAAAAAACAUUGGUUUCAUAUAUGUUAGUCCUAUAGCUAUUGUGUGUUUACGUGUGAACAGGUGAACCUGUAUGAGGGGUACAUGUAUGUGUGCAUGUUUAUGGAGGUCAGACAUUGACCCAAUUGUUCUAUAGGAGCCAUCCACCUUGCCUUCUUUCUUAUUAAAAAAUAAAUUUCAUCAGACUUAUUUUUGUUUGAUGUAUUUUGGGCAUAUUUGUUCCCCUCCCCCAAUACCUCCCAUCUCCUUUCCAUCUCCCUCCUCUCUCAAAAACAAAACUAAAAUAGUCUGAAAAAAAACCAAACAAACAAAAAUGAAAACCACAAAAAACAAAUGUAAUCAUCAAUAUGUAAUUACAAACCCUGUGCCCUACAACGGUGACCGGCCUGCAAGAUACCCUGGUGUAAUAGUGGCACAAAUGUUAGGAGAGCAACUGAUCACGUUUGAACUGUAUUUAAGGCUUACUCCACAGGAUGGAAAGUAUACCUGACACUGCAUAAAUAGCCAGGAGUAAGACUAGAUAGAUCAUGGGUCCUAUGGACAAACUUUUUUUUCCCUUUGGAGAUCUCGAAUAAGAUCAGCCAGCUGGCCAGGGAGCCCCAGCUUCCUGGCUUUUCUUUUUAUCAUCAGCCUUAUGAGCAUAGAUAGUUACCAAUAGCUUUGCAAGUGUUGCUUUUGUUCAAUUCAUGCUCCCCUCUCCCUGUAGGACUCUAGGUAUAAACUUUGCUUUAAUCUUCCCCUUUGUGCAUUAUUAUCCUCCCUUCUCUAUUCCCAUCCUUUUUGUCCUCUAUGUUGGAAUUUGAGUGCUUUCUGCAGCUCCCUCUUUCUCUUAAUGAUUUCUUUCUGCCACGCCUAUCUUAUUAGGAAACCAUCUUUUAGUUCAUUUUACUUCUCAUAAUUUUAGGCUCUAGCAUUUCCAUUUGUCCUGUUUUUAAAUGUCCAGUAAUUGUUUAAUUGAAUUCUGGAUGUUAUGAGAAAUUGCAAAGGCUGCAUGAAAUACACUUCCUGCUGAGAGGCUGGGAUUUGCUCUAGUGGUCGUAUAUUGUGUGGACUUACCAUAUUCUUUCUGUUGAAGUUGGAUUUCAGAUUUCUUUUGAAUGCUGAGAGUCCAGUUUGUCAUAAACCUUAAAUCUUAACCUUUACUUUUAAACAAUCAUCUUAGUUCUUCUCUGAAGGCCUGAGAUAUUUAGUUGGGCUCUCCCUCCUUGGCGGUUUCCAAAUUCUCAUUUCUUUCUCCUGUUCUUCAAAAUCUCAGCUCAGACUUUUACUAAAGUAUUUCCCUGCUCAGCUCCAAAUCAUAUCGGCAGUGGUAAGCUCCAACAUUGAUCUCUCUCUAGCCCACAAAAAUAUCCAUAAGCCUAUAACAUUUCUGCUCUUUCUCUGUUGGCUUGAACUUGCAAAUACCAAGGUAAAAACAAAACUGGUAAAUACAGGCCUCAAUUAUUGUAAUAAAAAGUACAGUACUAACUAAGGAAAACUGGGAGCAUGAGAGGUGGUCUUCCUCAGGAAAGAGGACCAAUUCUUUGUCCAGUGACAGUCAACCCUAUAAUUACAUACGCAAGCAACAUUAUACGAACUCAACAGCUUAUAUUUAGGAAUAUAGAUGUGUGUGUGUAUGUGUAUAUGUAUAUAUAUACAUAUAUGCAAUGCAAUAACUUAGUUUGAAAAGGGGGCAUGAAUUUAAAAGAGAGUGGGGAAGGGUUGUUGGGAAGAUCUGGAGGAAGGAAAAGGAAAGAAGACAUAUUAUAAAUGCUAAAUAAAUAAAUAAAUAAAUAGUUAAAUAAAUUGAGCUGAUAAAGCUAGGAAGAGGAGUCCAGAAAGAAAAAAAUAAGUACACCAUCAAAACUGAGUAAAGAGAAUUAUGUGCUUGGGUGUACUUCAAAUAAGAUUGACAAAGACAAGAAAACACAUUUUUAAGUAUUAAGGAAUAUUUAUAUAAAUAUAAUGCUACUCUUGUGUGAUUAGUCUAGAUAAAAAAUGGAAAAUAGAUUCCUAAAUGAUCUAGAUAUAUGAUUCUAUAACAUGCCACCACUCAUGGUCCUAGAUCUAAACUCACCAUUGAAAACUCUAAUGGGCUUAGAAGUAAGAGAGUCUGGGUUACUUUGUAACAUAUUUCAUGUUAUUUUUCAAUCUAUUGGUUUAUUUCUAAAUAGCCCCUUUCUCUCCCUCUAGAUGCUGCAUGAUCCACUGAGAGGCCUGUUUCCUCCUGGGGGAGGAGGUGGCAAUUAAUACGCUUACUACAUGGGAAGCAGCAUGGCUCUGGACUAAGCUAUGAGUCAGUAGUUUAGAGUUAUAAUCACAUUUCUGAUCCUGAAUCAGUUGAUGCCUGUGGUCAAGGCACUUAACCUUUGUGUUUGUCCACCUGAAAAGGAGAUAAAAUGAUCAUUUAUUUGUAAGAAUCUGUGUCUCUAGUAAUAAGUGUUUUUUCAUACAAAUAAAGGCACCAUAAUAUAUUUUACUAGUCAGUGACUGC